UAAUACGGAGGGUGCAAGCGUUACUCGGAAUCACUGGGCGUAAAGGGCGCGUAGGCGGGAUCGUGGGUCGGCCGUGAAAUCCACCGGCUCAACCGGUGAACUGCGGUCGAAACUACGAUUCUUGAGUUCGGUAGAGGAAUGCGGAAUUCCUGGUGUAGCGGUGGAAUGCGUAGAUAUCAGGAAGAACACCGGUAGCGAAGGCGGCAUUCUGGGCCGUAUCUGACGCUGAGGCGCGAAAGCCGGGGGAGCGAACAGGAUUAGAUACCCUGGUAGUCCCGGCCGUAAACGAUGGGUACUAGGUGUAGGGGGUACUGACCCCCUCUGUGCCGCAGUUAACGCAUUAAGUACCCCGCCUGGGGAGUACGCACGCAAGUGUG
rnacentral:rRNA from 1 species